AGCCAACAAAGCCACAGCCCUAUCGGCUGUACUGGGCUCUGCCUUUUGGGCAGCUCGCCGGCCACUCCCCAAAAGCAGAGCAUUCCAUCCUUUCUCUUUUUAAACCCACGUCAUCAUCUGAUCAUAAUGGAAAUCAAUCUCCUCAAACCACCAUGCAAAGGCGUAUCCAUGGCAACCUCAAAAGGAAGGACACAGAGAUGAUGCUUCAGUGGCUGCAGCAGGAAAAGCUCUUCGCCUCUCGGUACCUUAAGUAUACCUGAGUAGCCAGUGGUCAACAUGGGUUUGCUGCUCUCCUCACUGCAAUAAAUGACGGUGCUGUUGUAAGAGAUCCAGGCUGCCUUUGGCUUCCUCCAAUGGGGAACCUGAACAAGGACCCCCAAACUCCUGUUCACAUAACUAGAGCCCUUCCCCCCAACAUGUGAUGCUGAACAGAGAAGAACAUCUGUGCUUACCUGGGUGAAAUCCUAGGCAUUAUAGAAUGUGGGGAAGAAUCCAUGGGAGAAUCCUCCCCCUGAGGAAAGGGAUGCUGUUUUCCAGGAGAAGAUACGGGGUCUUGCCAUGUUGCCUACGUUGGUCUUGAACUCUUGGCCUAAAGUGAUUCCCGUACCUUGGCCUCCCCAAGCGCUGGAAUUACAGGUGCAAGCCACCACACCAGGCCAAAAACUUAAUAUAUGACAAAAUUUGUAUUAUUGAUCAGUGAGGGAAAGAUAUACCAUUCAAAAAAUGGUGCUGGGACAAUUAGGUAUUCAAAUGCAAAAGCAAGCAAGAAAGGAAAGAAUAAAAGAAGGAAAAAAGGGAGGGAAGGAGGGAGAGAGGAACAAAUUAAGUGCUUCCAUUUCUGGUGCUACCGUGGACUAAAUAUUACGGAAACUUCUGAUAUACUGCAACUAAAAAUGCUGGAUAUAAUAUUUAACAACCACACACACUCUUUCACCAUAGGGAUUCCCAGUCCACCCCCUUAACUUUCUGAGUCACUCUGUGACCCUGCCAGCUACAGGUUUUUCCCAGCAAGCUUGAACCCAAACUGGGGCCUUGAACAUUUCCAGGCACUGUUAAAGGUAUCUAGGUUGCCCAAAAUAUUGAAAUAAACUGGCCCCAGCCCUGAGCCAAAUUUCUUAAACCCCCAUUUAAACUCCAUACCCUGACCCCUCCUUGUGGACAAACCUAGGUAAGACAUCCUGUUUUUCUCUCUGUCCAUCUUGAAAAUAUGCUGCAGCACUCUAUAUGUAAGUUCUUCAAAUAAAUCCUUUGAACUGAUACCCCAGGCUUUUAGUGCUUCCUUCUUUGGAAUCCCAACCAGCCCCAUCUCGAGAUGGUUUGGGGCGCUCCCUUGUGGGAACUCCCUUACUUUGGGAUCAACUUGGGGUGACUCCAGCUGCAGGUUGGCAGAACAAAACAUUCACACACACCCACUCACACAAACACACACACACACACACACAACUAUUUAUAUUGCCUGACUGCACUGGUAGGAAAGUAAGAAAAUUCUUCAGAGUAUAGAGAUGAUAGGAAAAUAUGAAUCCCAAAACACAGGUGAUCACUGGAGCCAGUGUUUGCUAAGUAGUCAACCUCUGGUGGUCUGGAACCUGGGUUUAAAAGUCCAUAAGAAGUAGAUAGAAGGUUGGGCAUGGUGGCGCACACCUGUA
rnacentral:lncRNA from 1 species